rnacentral:misc_RNA from 1 species
UUGCCUAAAGAAAAAUAUCAACACAAAGAUGUCUUGAAAAAUGAAAAAGAAGAAAUUAAGAAAGAAAACAUACCUCACAACAGAAUAACCAAGAAUGACAACUGACAAUGAACCAAGGAUAAUACUACUCCAGAAUAGAAAUUUUGUUUUGAAGACUAGAUCUAAAAUCAUCUGGUCCUUGGUCAUUUCACAUAGGAAAUGGGGAAAAUCAUUGCACGACUUUAUCACAGGAAUCCCAUUUUCAAAACUGCAUAUGCCAACAGCACUGAUAGCUUUUCCUAAUGGAAG